UCUACGGGAGGCAGCAGUGGGGAAUAUUGCACAAUGGGGGAAACCCUGAUGCAGCGACGCCGCGUGAGUGAAGAAGCGUUUCGGCGCGUAAAGCUCUGUCAGCGGGGAAGAAACACGGUUCGCGAGAGCCGCGGACGGUACCCGACCAAGAAGCCCCGGCUAACUACGUGCCAGCAGUCGCGGCAAUACGUAGGGGGCAAGCGUUAUCCGGAUGCACGGGGUGGAAAGGGAGCGUAGACGGCGAGGCAAGUCUGAAGUGAAAGGCCGGGGCCGAACCCCGGAACUGCUCUGGAAACUGCGGGGCUGGAGUACAGGAGAGGUAAGUGGAAUUCCUGGUGUAGCGGUGAAAUGCGUAGAUAUUAGGAGGAACACCAGUGGCGAAGGCGGCUUACUGGACUGUAACUGACGUUGAGGCUCGAAAGCGUGGGGAGCAAACAGGAUUAGAUACCCGUGUAGUC
rnacentral:rRNA from 1 species